GGAUUAGAUACCCUGGUAGUCCACGCCGUAAACGAUGUCGACUUGGAGGUUGUGCCCUUGAGGCGUGGCUUCCGGAGCUAACGCGUUAAGUCGACCGCCUGGGGAGUACGGCCGCAAGGUUAAAACUCAAAUGAAUUGACGGGGGCCCGCACAAGCGGUGGAGCAUGUGGUUUAAUUCGAUGCAACGCGAAGAACCUUACCUGGUCUUGACAUCCACGGAAGUUUUCAGAGAUGAGAAUGUGCCUUCGGGAACCGUGAGACAGGUGCUGCAUGGCUGUCGUCAGCUCGUGCCG
rnacentral:rRNA from 1 species